rnacentral:rRNA from 1 species
GUGAGGAAUAUUGCGCAAUGGAGGCAACUCUGACGCAGCCAUGCCGCGUGCAGGAAGAAGGCGCUACGCGUUGUAAACUGCUUUUAACCGGGAAGAAACCCCAGGACGUGUCCUGGGUUGACGGUACCGGAGGAAUAAGCACCGGCUAACUUCGUGCCAGCAGCCGCGGUAAUACGAAGGGUGCAAGCGUUAUCCGGAUUCAUUGGGUUUAAAGGGUGCGUAGGCGGAACGUUAAGUCAGUGGUGAAAUCCUGCAGCUUAACUGUAGACUUGCCAUUGAUACUGGAGCGCUUGAGUGAGCGUGAAGUGGGCGGAAUGUGCCGUGUAGCGGUGAAAUGCUUAGAUAUGGCACAGAACACCAAUUGCGAAGGCAGCUCACUAAGGCGAUACUGACGCUGAGGCACGAAAGCGUGGGGAUCGAACAGGAUUAGAAACCCCAGUAGUCC